UACGUAGGGGGCAAGCGUUGUCCGGAUUCAUUGGGCGUAAAGAGCUCGUAGGCGGCUCAGUAAGUCGGGUGUGAAACCCUCAGGCUCAACCUGGGGACGCCACUCGAUACUGCUGUGGCUAGAGUCCAGUAGAGGAGUGUGGAAUUCCCGGUGUAGCGGUGAAAUGCGUAGAUAUUGGGAGGAACACCAGUGGCGAAGGCGGCUCACUGGACCGGUACUGACGCUGAUGCGCGAA
rnacentral:rRNA from 1 species